rnacentral:rRNA from 1 species
AACGAACGCUGGCGGCGUGCUUAACACAUGCAAGUCGAACGAUGAAGCCGGAGCUUGCUCUGGUGAAUUAGUGGCGAACGGGUGGGUAACACGUGAGUAACCUGCCCUUGACUCUGGGAUAACUGCUAGAAAUGGUAGCUAAUACCGGAUACGACCCUCGGAGGCAUCUCCAGGGGGUGGAAAGAAUUUCGGUCAAGGAUGGACUCGCGGCCUAUCAGCUAGUUGGUGAGGUAACGGCUCACCAAGGCGACGACGGGUAGCCGGCCUGAGAGGGUGACCGGCCACACUGGGACUGAGAUACGGCCCAGACUCCUACGGGAGGCAGCAGUGGGGAAUAUUGCACAAUGGGCGCAAGCCUGAUGCAGCGACGCCGCGUGAGGGAUGACGGCCUUCGGGUUGUAAACCUCUUUCAGCACAGACGAAGCGCAAGUGACGGUAUGUGCAGAAGAAGGACCGGCCAACUACGUGCCAGCAGCCGCAGUAA